GAACCCGUGGCGCAGUGGUAGCGCGUAUGAUUCCAGUGCUAGAGAAAGCGGGAUUUCCAUAAGGUCAUCCGUUCAAUCCGGGUCGGGUUCA